AUUCCAUGGUGAGGACAGUCUGAAGUGUAUCCUUGAAAAUGCUCCCAUGCUUCUGAAAUGGCUUCUGUCUUCUGUUGUUGAAACUGACAAUAUUUCCUCUUAAGGCA
rnacentral:snoRNA from 1 species